UACGGAGGGGGCUAGCGUUGUUCGGAAUUACUGGGCGUAAAGCGCACGUAGGCGGCUUUGUAAGUUAGAGGUGAAAGCCCGGGGCUCAACUCCGGAAUUGCCUUUAAGACUGCAUCGCUAGAAUUGUGGAGAGGUAAGUGGAAUUCCCAGUGUAGCGGUGAAAUGCGUAGAUCUUGGGAAGAACACCUGUGGCGAAAGCGCUCUACUGGACCGCGACUGACACUGAUGGACGAAAGCUAGGGGAGCGAAUGGG
rnacentral:rRNA from 1 species